rnacentral:rRNA from 1 species
GACAGAGGGGGCAAGCGUUGCUCGGAAUCACUGGGCGUAAAGGGCGCGUAGGCGGGAUGGCAAGUCAGUCGUGAAAUCUCUCGGCUCAACCGAGAAACGUCGGCUGAUACUGCCGUUCUUGAGGGAUGCAGAGGAGACUGGAAUUCCCGGUGUAGCGGUGAAAUGUGUAGAGAUCGGGAGGAACACCGGUGGCGAAGGCGGGUCUCUGGGCAUUUCCUGACGCUGAGGCGCGAAAGCCAGGGGAGCAAACGGG